GAUGAAGAACUUAGCGAAAUGCGAUAAUUAAUGUGAAUUGCAGAAUUCCGUGAAUCAUCGAGUCUUUGAACGCACAUUGCGCCUCAUGGCAUUCCGUGAGGCAUGCCCAUCUCAGCGUUAGAAAAUAUUCUCAAAUUUUAGUUUUGUGCUAAAAUUUGGAUCAUGUCAAGGAAGCUAUUACUAUUAUUGUGAUCGCUCUUUGGAAAUUGAUAGGUCUUUGAGUUGCUACUCAUAGAACGUGAUGAAUCUUUCUUCGUUCUAUUGUAAUUCACUCUGGUAGUCCUAAAACUUGUAUGCCUGUGGCAUAUCUUGUAAUUUGACCUGAGAUUGGGUAGGGAUACCCGCUGAACUUAAGCAUAUCAAUAAGCGGAGGA
rnacentral:misc_RNA from 1 species